GCCCGGGUGGCGAAAUGGCAAACGCAACUGACUUAAAAUCAGUUAGGGAAACCUUUACGGGUUCGAGUCCCGUCCCGGGUACCA
rnacentral:tRNA from 2 species